rnacentral:rRNA from 1 species
GACGAACGCUGGCGGCGUGCUUAACACAUGCAAGUCGAACGGAAAGGCCCUGCUUUUGUGGGGUGCUCGAGUGGCGAACGGGUGAGUAACACGUGAGUAACCUGCCCUUGACUUUGGGAUAACUUCAGGAAACUGGGGCUAAUACCGGAUAGGAGCUCCUGCUGCAUUGUGGGGGUUGGAAAGUUUCGGCGGUCGGGGAUGGACUCGCGGCUUAUCAGCUUGUUGGUGGGGUAGUGGCUUACCAAGGCUUUGACGGGUAGCGGGCAUGGGAGGGUGACCGGCCACAUUGCUACUGCGACACGGCCCAGACUCCUACGUGAGGCAGCAGUGGGAAAUAUUACACAAUGGUCGGAAGCCUGAUGCAAAAACGCCGCGUGCGUGAUGACGUCCUUCGGGUUAUAAACCGCUUUCGCCUAUUACGAAGCGUGAGUGACGGUAAUGGGUAAAGAAGCACCGGCUAACUACGUG